CCUACGGGUGGCAGCAGUGAGGAAUAUUGGUCAAUGGGCGCGAGCCUGAACCAGCCAAGUCGCGUGAGGGAGGACGGCCCUACGGGUUGUAAACCUCUUUUGCCGGGGAGCAACGGGCGCCACGUGUGGCGUCACUGAGAGUACCCGGAGAAAAAGCAUCGGCUAACUACGUGCCAGCAGCCGCGGUAAUACGUAGGUGGCAAGCGUUGUCCGGAUUUACUGGGUGUAAGGGGCGUGUAGCCGGGCUGACAAGUCAGAUGUGAAAUUCCGGGGCUCAACGCCGGACCUGCAUUUGAAACUGUUGGUCUUGAGUAUCGGAGAGGCAGGCGGAAUUCGUAGUGUAGCGGUGAAAUGCGUAGAUAUUAGGAGGAACACCAGUGGCGAAGGCGGCCUGCUGGACGACAACUGACGGUGAGGCGCGAAAGCGUGGGGAGCAAACAGGAUUAGAUACCCCAGUAGUC
rnacentral:rRNA from 1 species